CAGUCGCCGCGGUAAUACAGAGGGUGCGAGCGUUAAUCGGAUUUACUGGGCGUAAAGCGUGCGUAGGCGGCUUCUUAAGUCGGAUGUGAAAUCCCUGAGCUUAACUUAGGAAUUGCAUUCGAUACUGGGAAGCUAGAGUAUGGGAGAGGAUGGUAGAAUUCCAGGUGUAGCGGUGAAAUGCGUAGAGAUCUGGAGGAAUACCGGUGGCGAAGGCGGCCCCCUGGACAAAGACUGACGCUCAGGUGCGAAAGCGUGGGGAGCAAACAGGAUUAGAUACCCCAGUAGUCCCUGUCUCUUAUCA
rnacentral:rRNA from 1 species